UCUAUACAUGACUACUGGAAAAAACACAGCCUUGACUAGAUGGACCUUUGUGGACAAAGUAAUGUCUCAGCUUUUUAAUACUCUGUCUAGGUUGGUCAUAACUUUCCUUCCAAGGAGUCAGCACCACAAGCCAAUAAACUGAGAGACAAGUGGUUGGGGGCAAGAACAGUGACAUUAUUCAGAAAGCCAGCGGACCAAGAAGAUGGUGGACCAGUGUCCCAAAGCAUCAUCUUGCCCAGGUUUGGAUGCUAGUAUCUUUUCUAGAGCAAAGAGAGAGAAGUCAGGAGGUAAAGUAGACGAGGUGAUGUUUAGUCACUAAGUCGUGUCUUAAUAUUGUCUAAGCUAUAGGCAACAUCCCUUUAGGGAUUGCAUUCGAGCUUAGUCACUACUUCAUGUCCCACCCUUUGUGACCCCAUGGACUGCAGCCCUCCAGGCUCCUUCUGUCCAGGGGAUUUCUCAGGCAAGAAUACUGGAGUGGGUUGCCAUUUCCUUCUCUAGGGCAUCUUCCCAACCCAGGGAUCAAACCCUCCUGCAUUGGCAGGCAGGUUCUUUAGCACUGAGCCACCUGGGAAGCCCUAUUUACUGAUUAACUUGUAGAAAAAGCAAUAGCAUACAAACGUUAAAGUAAAAGAAAGGGAUCCAACAUGGAGUCAGGUUUGUUCUUCCCCAUCACACUCCCAGUGUAGCAGUUUCACAAUUCUUGUCUCUUUCACUUUGCCCUCAGCUUCUCCUCCCAGCCUUGUAACCUGAACCUCUGUUUGUACAAUAUCAAGGUUGAAGCAUUUAUGCUGUGUUCCUUAAACAAAUCAAGCCUCCUGUGAUUUGCCCACAGGUUGAUUCCACAUGUUCCAAGCCAGUAAACAGUGUUUACUAUCAUUACCAGGUAAAUAGUAUCCACCUAGAGCCAAGUGCUGAGCAUAGUGGUAAGAUUGCCCAGCCUCCUCAGUGGCUCCAACAUCACAACCAUGCCCCUCAAUGGAAAGUGUUUCUAUGGUUAAGUUCAAAUGGAUUCUCCUCCUCUGUGUUCUAUCAUGUAACCAAAAUAACAUUUAAUUUUAGUUUGCUUUUUACUUAGACGUACUUUUUUUUUUGAUUAUCAAAAUUUUAUAUUUUUACAAAUUUGUAUUGGAGUAUAGUUGGUUUACAAUGAUAUGUUAAUUUCAGGUGUAUGGCAAAGUGAAUCAGUUAUACAUACACAUAUAUCUCUUCUUUUUCAGAUUGUUUUCCCAUAUAAGUUAAUACAGAAAAUUGAAUAUAGUUCCCUGUGCUGCACAGUAGUGGACUAUAACUUUCCGAUGAUGGAAAUUUUUUUCUUGUAGUUUCUGAUUCCUUUCUCCUCUUUUCUUUUGCCUACGUGGGAUGAGGUUUUUGAUAUGUCAGCUUGUCUAGUCUAGAGUUCUGAUAUUCAAACUCUAAUCAAGGUGUUGCUGUGAAGAGCUUUUGGUGAUUAAAGGCCCCAAUCAGUUGAUUCUAAGUAAGGAGGAUUAAAGUGGAUGGGAUGAAGUUUCUCUCAAAGAAAAAGAAGACAUUUCUCUGGACCUGUGCACAACAGCUUCAGCCUGUGCCCAUGGUUUCAAGCCUGCCAUGAUGUUUUCUUCCUGAUAGCCUGGCCUAUGGGCUUGAGGCUUGUGUAGCCAAGCCCAUGAUCAACGUUUACAGUCUUGAGAUCACACAAGUAAAUGUAAAAUUACAUCUGUAGUGAGUGCAUCAAAGGAGUGGCACAAUAGUCUAUGACUGAAUGCGGGCUUGCUGACCAAGUCUGAGAGGGAACUUGUUCUCUCACCACUGAAGCAGUCCUUCUCACCAAGGACAGCGUGGGAACUCAGCUGAACUCACAGGAAGCGUGAGUCUACCGUGAUUUCUUCGGGUACUGUUGAGUCAGCGAGGAAAAAGGAAACAGAACUGACAAGGGGAGGAGCCUCCCUGGGGUCACUGAAAACAGUCAAGAGAGAAAUGGCUGGUUUCACCGACACAUUCUUUCCUUCCUGAGAAACCGAGGUUCGCCAGCGGAAUGCAGUCCUCAAUCCCUUUUGAUCUCGGAGGGCCUUUGAAACGCGCACGUAAUUACAAAUAGGCUUUGGGUGGCAUGUGGAAAUGCUUAGGUAGCGUCACCUUUGGAAAAGUGCUGGUGUCCUCCUUCCACAGAUCUCAAUUCAAAAGCCGAAUUCCUUUCCUGCAAAAAGUUUUGUAUUUUUUCCAUUUUCCGUAAUGAACUUUGUGUUUCCAUUGCUAACUACCAUUUAUAGUCUGGCCUGCACAAUGAGAUGACUAUCAAUGCAUAAAUAAAUACAUGUGAACUACUAACAGGUGUCUCUAGAAACUAAGGUCCCUUUCCACAAUUCAUCUGAGAACUACAGUAUAGGCAAAAAUAGUAACACACAGAACCUUGAUCAGCUGUGGGUAUAUCCAAAUAGCCAAAAUGCAGCUGUGGGGGGAUUAGGCCACAUGUGCUAAAUCCUUUCUUUAUAAUUGUAUUCAAGUGCAAGACAGAAGAGAUAAAAUAAAUGAAGGCAUUUACAUAUUUCCUAAAACUACAAAGUCUGUGCCAAUACUUCAGAGAUACAUUUUAUUACUUUGCAUAUAUAUUUGUAAAUAUGGAAUUUUUUUAACUGUUAAAAAUUAUACCAGUCAUUCCUAAAGGAAAUGUACCCUGAUUAUUCAUUGGAAGGACUGAUACUGAUGCUGAAGCU